GUCGCAUCACAUUAAAACACCGCUUCCCGCACGAUCACCGAAGUUAAGCAACGUUAAACCUGGGCAGUAGGUGGGUGACCGUAUGAGAAUACUAGGUUCUGUA